ACAACAGCACUGACGAGGAGUAGUAGGCGAUCGUGACCGAAUCGAGAGAGCUGGUGGGUGGUGUGAACCAGCCGGUCAUUCGCUGAACUCGCCUCCGAGCUGGACCUGCGAAACCUGCAGAGGUUGUAGUGGGUUCCGAGUCGUCCACGUGACGGACAGAAUCAAGGGCGGUCGGAUGGAAGCGCGCUUUCAUCGACUGCUGAAUCAGGGUGGUACCACGAAGUUCCGAAAGGCCUUCGUCCCUGUC
rnacentral:ncRNA from 1 species